AUGCUAUACACAGAGACUUCUGAGCCGUCAGGGCCCAAUGUGGAACAUCAGUCUGGAUCACCAAACUACACUUCUUGGGAUUGGCCUGGAGGUGGCGCCCUUGCUGUUGGUCUGGAACCAUUGGACGGAGGCUCAGGCAGGUCUGGAGGAGGAUGUUACCCAGUGGAAGAUGUCCUGAGGGCUAGCCUGGUCCCUUUCAUCUCCUGGAAGAGAACAGGGGCGUCGCCCAAGCCUAAGAGCACUGCCACGUCUUUGAAUUGCUCCAGGUCUAUCUUGAAAUCUGUGUUUAAAUCCCAUCCCCUUAGAUCCAGAGUGAUCUGGGUUCUAAAUACGACACCCCGAUUUCUUCGUAAAACAUUUCAAAUCUGGCCUUACCACGAAUCCUUCCAUGACACAGCUUAAAAAUUCUUUUGAUUAAGGGGCCCCUGGCUAGCUUAGUCAGAAAAGCACGCAACUCUUAAUUGCAGGGUUGUGAGCUCGAGCCCCGCAUCGGGUGCAGAGAUUAGUUAAAUAAGUCAAACUUAAAGAAAAAAUUCUUCUUGAUCAAAAUGUACUCUAAGUGUUCAAAGGCCAAAGAUACAGCUGACGUCCUUAAGGAAAAGAUUGCGAGUAGGGCUAGAUUGAGGAUCCACUAUACUUUCCUCCCCUGAGUCCUGCAGCCUGGCCAGCCCCCUCCUCAGUUAUGUUGAGCCCAGGGUCCCCUAGUGGAGGGGCCAGGAAGGAGGCAGAGCUACAGGCAAUCUGAGGCCCCUUGCUAGAUGUGCUUCUGUUUCUUCCAUCUCUGGGCCACUGCUCUGACCAGGGGACCCCCUCUCUGCAAACAGGUUGAGGCAUGUCUGCAAGACUGCCUUCCAUUCCCUGCCUCUGUGAUCUGCUUCUAGUUUUCCAAACAGCAGAGCCUGUGAAAUUAGGUCCAGCCUGGCCAUGACUGCCCUCAAGCGUGAUCCACUGUGUGCGCGUGUGUGUGCCUGUGUGUGUGCCUGCGUUCCCACGGCAGGGCAAAGUGGAUCCGUUCCUUCUAGUCUCAAUCCACGGGUACACCAUCCCAGCUGAGGCGUGGGGAGCUCUCCCCAUAGCCUCUUUAUUUACUCUAUGCCUCCAGCAUCAGCUGGCAAAUGAGUCCCAGGUUUCAUUCACCACCUUCCCUUCCCCUAAAAAAAGGUCAUUCGUUUUAUGACCAAGCUCACAUGCAUUCACUUUGGAGUAAAGCAAAUAAAUGUUUAAUAAAAGCUGGAGUCUCCUAAGAC
rnacentral:lncRNA from 1 species